AAUAACAACAGGUAAAAUCGCUGGCUCGUCGGCGGCGCCGCGGCCAGAUCCGCCUCCAACCACCGAACCGAAGCGCGCCGCCGUCGACCUCCUCACCGUCGGUGUUGGGCUGGCGUUUGAGUCCGGUGGUCAUCUCCAUCCGCACCUGGCGUUGGUUUCUUUCGUAGCGAUGGACUCCUUUGGCCCCAUGGUGGAUCGCUCAGCUAAAUCAUCCAUCCGUGCCUCCGAUUCGGUCGGCGUCCAACGCGACCAGAUUGAUGCCAGAUGACGGCACUGGAUUUAGGAUCUGCAGGCUAGGAUUUGACCAUGGCCUUCCGGAUUGGAUAUAUCUAUCUACACUUGGGUUAUGAAAUCACGUUCCUAAAACAUCUGUCUUUGAUUUGUUUGCAUCUAUGGAUGGAGCUGAUUAGACGAAGUUCUAGAUCAAGCACACGUCAAAAGAAAUAAGCAUAUCUGUAAUGUGACAUUCUGCCGUUCAGCAUGCCCUAAAGAUUUUAGUUACAGGUGAAUAACACAUUAACACGAGACUCCUAUUUUUUUUUCCUUGGGCUCAUGGUUAUUUGGAGAGAUGACAUGAAUCCCUCAUUCAUCCAUUCGUUUUUAGUCUCAGGAAGUCUUAACCAAAUUGGAAUUUCAUUAGAACAGGAGAGCUAGAUAUAAGGGCGUGGCUUCUUCUGUGUUGAAGACAAUGGCAGAGAAGGCAGGGCCUGCCAUCCAUAGGCAGGCUGUGAUAGUGACUGUUGCAGUGGAAUCUAGGGCGCGCCAUCUACUUGGCCUCCAGUAACAUACUUAUCUUCAGCUUGGUGUAAAGGCACGUCGUUGCAAUGGAUUGUCAUACACAGUAAAUUAUGCUGGCACGCUGUUCUGUUCUCCGGACUGAAUUUCUAAUAGCUUUGAAGAUAAAGGAGUGAAGAUACUAAUUGAUCCAAAAGCUCUUAUGCAUGUUGUUGGAACCGAAAUGGAUAUUAUUGAUGAUCCUCUUAGGUAUUUUGAUUGUUUCCUACCAAGCUCUUAUGCUAGCCCAGUUGGUUAGUCACUCCGGCGGCACCCCUCAGGUCCUGAGUUCGACUCCCUGUGGGAGCGAAUUUCAGGCUAAGGAUAAAAAAAUCCCCUCGCUGGUCCUGUGUGUCAAAGCACUGGUUGUGAGACGGCCCAAGUCGGCUUGAGGACCCUUACAUGGCCCAGGCACAGUUCUCAGGGGGUUACGUCUCCCAGUGUCAGGGCGGGGUCAGGGUUCGGAGAUUUUCUCGGUCAGGGAAGCCGAGGCUUCUUCUUAAGUUAAUACCGGUGGGGCGGUCUUUCCCCACCCGGCCGAGUUUUUAAUUCUGUUGCGCUGCAACUCACAUAAUAGUUUGGUGGUGGUAAUAUUUCGCUGGUCAGAUUUCGUGUUUAUGAACCCCCAAAUCAAAAGGAGCGUCAUUCCAGAAAUUUAUGAUAACACUACCAAUUGUUGCAUUUA